rnacentral:rRNA from 1 species
AUGAGCGGAAGAGGUCGUCUACUGGACGCGGUUCAACUAGCGGAGACUCUUGGAAAAGAUGGACUAAAAAGUCCCCAAGUUAGCGUAUUAUGGGGGACCGUCAAGCACAUCCGGCAAAGAUCGAGGGGGAUCUCGUUGUUGCAUAGCUCAGGUCAGAGCAAGGUGCCAUCAGGCGUUCAACAGGCAGUCUCACGAUCGGGCAUGAGUGUCCUGAAGAAGAAAUUGUAUACUCCCUUUGGUCGGAAGGCGGUGGGGGAAGGAAGGGGACACUGGGCGGGAUCUUUCAGCAGCGAAUUCCCCAUACAGAUAGAGGCGCCUAUCAAAAAGAUACUCCGAAGGCUUCGGGAUCGAGGUCUCAUUAGCCGAAGAAGACCCAGGCCAAUCCAAAUGGCCUCUUUGACCAACGUCAGUGACAGAGACAUAGUAAAUUGGUCCGCGGGCAUCGCGAUAAGUCCUCUGUCCUACUACAGGUGCUGCGACAACCUUUACCAAGUCCGAACGAUUGUCAACUACCAGAUCCGCUGGUCCGCUAUAUUCACCCUAGCCCACAAGCACAAAUCUUCGGUGCGGAAUAUAAUCCUAAAGUACCCCAAAGACUCAAAUAUAGUCAAUCAAGAAGGUGGUAAGACCCUUGCUGAGCUCCCAAACAGCAUAGAGCUUGGGAAGCUCGGACUCGGUCAAGAUCCGAACAACGACGGAGCACUCAACUACAUGUUUAAUAAGUAG